AUUGAACGCUGGCGGCAUGCCUUACACAUGCAAGUCGAACGGCAGCACGGGGCAACCUGGUGGCGAGUGGCGAACGGGUGAGUAAUGCAUCGGAACGUACCUUUCAGUGGGGGAUAACGUAGCGAAAGUUACGCUAAUACCGCAUAUUCUGUGAGCAGGAAAGCAGGGGAUCGCAAGACCUUGCGCUGAUUGAGCGGCCGAUGUCAGAUUAGCUAGUUGGUGAGGUAAAGGCUCACCAAGGCGACGAUCUGUAGCGGGUCUGAGAGGAUGAUCCGCCACACCGGAACUGAGACACGGUCCAGACUCCUACGGGAGGCAGCGGUGGGGAAUUUUGGACAAUGGGGGCAACCCUGAUUCAGCCAUGCCGCGUGAGUGAAGAAGGCCUUCGGGUUGUAAAGCUCUUUCGGCCGGGAAGAAAUCGCACGGGCUAAUACCCUGUGUGGAUGACGGUACCGGAAUAAGAAGCACCGGCUAACUACGUGCCAGCCGCCGCCGUAAUAC
rnacentral:rRNA from 1 species